GUUUGUGCUUCUUUAACCUUUUUACUUGAGACAGCAUUUACAGGUGCUGGUAACUUUGAAAUGCUAUAACCAUCUUGAGUUAUUAUAGUGCUGGAAAAGUCCAUUUCAUGUAGUAUCAUGUUUUUCUUAUUUUGGAGUUUGGCCUGCUUAUUCUUGGAACCUGACAAUUCAUGUAGUAUCAUGUUUUUCUCAUUUUGGAGUUCGGCCUGCUUAUUCUUGGAACCUGACAAAUUAAAAGUAUUUUUCUUGAUCAACAAAGGCGUACAUUGAUUAGCUAGAAUAUGAAGUCUCUUAUUCUAAUAUUUCAAUCGAAGUGACUCCAGCAAACAUAAGCGUGUAGGUUCUUUUCUCUGCUAACUACAUAUGCACAUUUAGAUCAUUAAUGUUUUUUCUAGAUUU
rnacentral:lncRNA from 1 species